UCUUAACAGAAUUCUGCUUCCUCUACUGCUUCACUUUGUACUGAUCAGAAAUGUUGAACAUGAUCCCCUGAACAAGAAAACAUCCUGUUUCUAUGGGAGAAACAUGAAAAUGAGAACAUUUUACCUACAAGAUCUCCUGUGCAGCUGGAAAAUAGGGCAUCAUUAUCUGUCAAGAAAACUGCCACAGACCUACAGACUGAGAAAAAAAUGCAGAAGGGUUACAUCAGGACAAUUUUACAUUUUGGAUGGCUGUACAGAAGAACAUCGUGAGUUGAAUAAGAAACUGCUGGAUCAUCUUCUCUCAGGAAAAGCUCGAUUGGGCUCAGGCUACUUCUCUGGAAGAAUAAGAACAGUCUCUGCCAAUCUAUGAAUUUGUACAACAUGAUGUAAGAAAACUUCAAAAGGAGUUCUGGUUGAUGGCACUUUUAGAACCACCAAGGCUGUGGAGGAAAACCGUUUUCUGGAAAGAGCACUCCCAGAGCUACUUGCAAAAUCAUUAAGUGCUUAGAUCAUAGAAUAGUUCUUAAACUCCAUCACAUGUUUUUCCCUCCAUUUUUGUUUCUUAAUUGUUAAUCUCCUGAACCUUUGAGUAGUCAUGAUAUCCCCUACAAUAGAAGAGAACUUUCCCAAAGGCUUUCUGAAGCUUCUGAGAACCUCUGCUAUAAAUUAUGGUUGUAUUCUCCACAGAAGGCUGAGAACCAUUUUGUGCAAAUAAUGGCACAGAAGCUCUUGCAUUUCUGCAGAGUUGCUGAAGGCUUCUUCCCCCUCCCCAGUUUGUCUACUGCUGUCAUUCUAAAAUCAACGGAGGCCAGGGCUCUUUGGGACUCCAUGCUUGUACUACCAAUGAAACAAUUGAUGGAGGGGAAGUGUAUCCUACAUGGUUUCAACACAAAGUAUUUCCGGAAAGCAGGAGCCUUUGGGAUGAGAGAGAGAACCUACAAGUGUAACUGGAAUAUGCACUACUCCUCCAGCUACUUGUCCAAGCUUACUACUGCACAGUAGGUAGCUGUGCAAAUGUUCUACACUGUGUCCCUGUUCUUCAUCUCUCUACAAGGCAGUUGCAUACUUGAAGGAAUAGAGCCCAGCGUGAAAAGGCAAUGAAAUAUCACUUAAGAAGUUGACCCUUGCUGAAAUGAAUCACCUCUGCAAAUCAGUGUGCUUCCCAAACCCUUAUUUUGUACUUUUGUAUUUUGAUCAGGUAUGCAAUCAAGAAAUUAUGAGUAAGGCAUUUUUGUCUUGCCAUAUGAUAGGAAUUACAUAUAUUUAAUUCUAUAUCUCUUUCCUACUCCUCUAACAAGUUUAAUUGCAUCAUCUUUCUUUUGUACUUCCAGAACUCUAAACUAGAAGAAUUUGUACAGCAAGGAUCUCAGCAAGAGUAUGUGGCCUAAAAAUGUAUUUUUAGAACACCUGUCUUAAUUUACGUAGCAGUAGACUGUGGAAUCUCAGGCUUUCAAUGGGGAGAAGAGGAAGAAUGCCUUCUCAUAUAUAGUUAUCUUAGCUGUUACAUUUAACUGAAAGUUUCUAUAUUAAAGAAUAAUAAUGUACUCCUAAUUUACAUUUUUCACAAUAAAAUUUUGAAACAUUCACAUCAUUGUAAAGGGUUAUUAGAAGGUUUUCACUAUUAUGAAAAAUAUUUCUUUUAUUCUUUUAUUAUUUUCUCUGCUGUCCUAAUUGCACUGAAUGACUGCCCGGGGCUGUGCAAAUUUAGUAAGUGAAGAUUGUCUUUUCUUGGUUGGUGUUAUGUUUUGAAUUGAACAGUUGCCAUUAUCCCCUGCCUAUGUGCUCUCAAGGUCUCUCAGUUUCAGGCUCAAGUAAAAUUGCACACGUAUCCAAAGCAGUCGUACACACCAGCUCCGGUCCUGGGAGCAGCCCAGAAGAAGGAACACAGCCUGUACAGCCUAAUUCAUCUACAUGUUGUCACAGCUAGACCUCCUGUGGAAGCUGUGCCGUCUUACCUGUCUUACUGUCACACAGCACUCCACUUCGUGCAGAACUAACGCCUCCCAAAGUGCUCUGGGGGCAGGCUGGAACUCCAGUGUGAAGUAGGAUGUGUGUCCACCUGGAAAGAGGUACACUUCAAAGCAUCUGUGGCCAUGCUUAUGUGCACAUCACAGCAAGUACACCCUGAAAGGAUUGUGGAGUAAGCAAAAAUCCAUAUUGGAACAGGUACAACUCAAAAUGUCAGCACUAGAACAUCCUGAAGCUCCAGUGGCCUCGGAAAAGUCUUUGUCAUAUGCACAGCCUGUUUGAAAAUGCAGUGAUUUGAAAGCAACGUCCUCUAACAACAAGGCAUCCUGAAAAUUGAACAUAUUUCAAAUUCUCCAGGAAAGGAAUUACUGGUGGAAAAAGACCAUUCAUUCCCUCUGAAGUUACAGCAAGGAACUGAAAAAGGAAACAUCUAUAUCUUGCUAAUUGUAUGUUUUAUGUAGGCAGCGUACAAUUUGCAUAGACAUUUGCUCUGAGCAAGAGAAAGUUUUGUGUUUAAUAUGACCCAUGCAUUUCUCCAUUAGACCUUCAUUUUUAUGGGAGAGUGCUUCAUCCAUUCUAAACAUAUCAAUUUCCUUUAUAAAUGAAAUUAUUUUUAUAACUCAAAAAAGGUAUUGUAUCUAUUUGUAGAAUAACCUGAAAGAUCUAUUGAAGAGAUGUUUUAAGAUCUCAGUUGUUGCACUCAACAAAGUGCUGAGUUGUUCUGGGGAGAGAGUUUUUAAAAUUUUUACCAAUUACAAAUCAAUACGGUUGCUCACCAAAGCACAUUCUUCUGUCUAUUUUCAGUGAAGCCAAACUUUUCGUAUAUAUCUAGCCAGCAACAAUGUAUUGUGCUGCAAAGGGCUGGGGCAAACACCUUUCAACUUUCAGUUUAAGCAUUAUUAAAAUUUUGCAUUACAUAAUGUUUGUCUCCUUUGCUCCUAAAAAUUACUUAUUUUUUCUUAUUUUCUCUUUUAUUUGAGAUACAAAAUACAUGGUAAAUUAAAAAUAUUUCUUUUGUACAUAGUGUCAGUAUUUAACUUGCUAGUCACAAAUAUCUAACUUCUCUUAUUGACUUUCACUGGAGAUUUUCACAGUUACAGCAUGAAUACAUAUAUUAAAGGGAUGACAGAUAUUACUACAUAGUCUCUGAAUAAGACAACAGAAGCUGACUUUGCACUAUACAGAGCAAGAUACCCAGUUUGUCUUGAUUCAGAGCAGGUCUCUGAAGAGACUUGGCAGUACUAGUUAGAUGGCUAAAGUGGGUCCUUGCUAGAAUAUCUGCAUAUCCUCAUUUUCCUUCAAGUUUAGAAUUUUGUUAGAGUAAAAAAGUACAAGUAAACUUUUGCUCUUCAACAUGUUAAACGCUUUUCUUCUAUAAUUAAUGUUACUUCUGAGUGGUAAUUAAUCUCAGAAAUAAUCUUGCAGUAGAGUUAGUUUAUUGUGUGCACUGCAGUUAGUUUAUUGUGGUGUUUAAAUACUAUGAGAAGAAGAAAGGGAGAAGUUGAAUCAGAGUAAAUAUUUCUCAUCUGUUUCUUGAAUGUGAGGAGCACCUAUUUCAUUCAAUGGAAUGUACAAUGAGACCCAUCUAACCCCAUCUCUGGUAAACAGGCAAUAACUUAAUCCAAUAAGCAGUGUUUCUUCUGGUUAUUCAUUGUUGUUCAGUUCUGAUGCCUGAAGAGUAAAAAUUCCCUUGUUUAUACUGUCUUCAUAUAUUCAACCUUGCCUACACCUGUCAUGCUUUAACCUUAGCCAGAGGCCAAGUCUCAUGCAGCCUCUGUCUCACUCCUCCACCCGUGAAACAGAAUUGGAAGGGUGAAAGGGAGAAAACCCAUGGGCUGACAUAAAGACAGAUUUAUAGGGAAUGCAAAAGCCGCACAUACAAGCCAAAUGAAAACAAGGAGUUAAUUCACUGCUUCCCAUGGGCAGACAGGCGUUCAGCCAUCUCCAGGGGAGCAGGGCCCCAUCAUGCCUAAGUUUUCAUAUCUCUAGCCAACAAAAACAUCUUAUGUUGCACAGCGAUGGGGCAAAUAGUUUUCCACUUCCGUUUUUAGCCUUAUUCAACUUUUGUAUUAUACCCUAUUUGUCUCCUUUGCUCCUAAAAAUUACGUGGGAAGUCAAAUGUCCCCCCUUCUCCUCUUCUCCUCACUUGAUAUACUUAGCAUGAUGUCAUAUAGUCUGGAAGACCUCUUUGAUUGGUUGUGGCCACCUGUCCAGGCUGUGUCCCCUUCCCAUGUCUCAUGCACUUUCAGUUUUCUCAUCAGUGUGGCAGGACACAAACCAGGAAAGGCCUUGGCUCUGCUCAGAGAAAGAGUCUGCUCAGAGAAAAUAAAAAUAUCUCUCUUAUCAUUAUUGGGUUCAGCACAAACCCAAAACAUACACUCACACUGGCCAGUGUGAAGAUAAUUUACUCUACUGCAGCCAAAACCAGCACAACAUGAGAGCUAAAAAUGAGAUAAUUGACUGUAAAGUCACAACUAAAUGGUCUGGGUGAAUAUUUUGUUUAUUUCUCUGUGAUAUUUCCAAAGUUUGAAGCAUGACUUUUAAAGCUCUGCAAUUUCUUGUAGAAGUCUGUAUCUGUUGCUCACCUUUAUUUUCAUUAUCUCUCAUUAUUUGCCUUUAAUUAAAACUUAUGUCAACAUCCACAAUGUUUCUGGCAACAUUCUGUACAGACAAGAAAGGAAAAGAAAUAAAGAGGAGAUUUUUGAAUUGUGAAAAACUUUCUUGGCUAACGGCAUAGCGUUAAAACAACCCACAUAAUCCAUGGUGGCUUAAAGAUAAUGGAUUUAUACCUUUGGACUACAUGGAGAAAUUGAACAGAAUAGCUAUUGUAGAAUAUAUUGGCUUUUAAUUACUAUGCCAAUCAAUAUAAACAUUUUAACUUCUUGUUCAGGUGGGUUUAAAGUUGUCUCUUAAUAUCUUAUAUUGCAAGGCUACUUCUGUAAAUUGAUCAAAAGUAUUAAAGGCUUUC